rnacentral:rRNA from 1 species
UACAGAGGGUGCAAGCGUUGUUCGGAAUCAUUGGGCGUAAAGCGCACGUAGGCGGUUCAUCAAGUCAGGUGUGAAAGCCCGGGGCUCAACCCCGGAAGUGCACUUGAAACUGGUAGACUUGAGUGUCGGAGAGGGUGGUGGAAUUCCGAGUGUAGAGGUGAAAUUCGUAGAUAUUCGGAGGAACACCAGUGGCGAAGGCGACCACCUGGACGAACACUGACGCUGAGGUGCGAAAGCGUGGGGAGCGAACAGG